rnacentral:rRNA from 1 species
UACGUAGGGGGCAAGCGUUGUCCGGAUUUAUUGGGCGUAAAGAGCGUGUAGGCGGCUAGAUAGGUCCGUUGUGAAAACUCGAGGCUCAACCUCGAGACGUCGAUGGAAACCAUCUGGCUAGAGUCCGGAAGAGGAGAAUGGAAUUCCUGGUGUAGCGGUGAAAUGCGCAGAUAUCAGGAGGAACACCGGUGGCGAAGGCGGCAUCCUGGACCAACACUGACGCUGAGGAGCGAAAGCCAGGGGAGCAAACGGGG